rnacentral:lncRNA from 1 species
CUAGGUUAAUCACCAUGGCGGACCGCAGUGAUAAACGGUCGAAAAAGGCCACUUCUGUGUAUUGUUGUGUUGGAGAGUGCCACAACAGCUAUAAAAACACCGCAGGAAAGCUGCCAAAGGUGAUAUUCUACCGAUUCCCCUGGAGGAAGUACGAAAAUGACAGAAGAGGACAGUGGAUCAGGGCUGUGCAACGAACAAGGCCGGAGAGGCAGCUUUGGCAGCCUGUGCGGGGCGAGACUCGCAUAUGCAGCGCGCACUUCGUGGGAAACAAAGAGCUCCGCUGCGAUGCACCCUUCUUAUCUGCCAACGAUAUUUCCGUCGUGCGGCGGAAGAAGCAACGGCGUUUAACCGCGAAAAUAAACGAAUUAAGGCUCGCGG